UACGUAGGGGGCAAGCGUUGUCCGGAUUUAUUGGGCGUAAAGAGCGUGUAGGCGGCCACACAGGUCAGCUGUGAAAACUCGAGGCUCAACCUCGAGACGUCGGUUGAAACCGUAUGGCUAGAGUCCGGAAGAGGAGAGUGGAAUUCCCGGUGUAGCGGUGAAAUGCGCAGAUAUCAGGAAGAACACCCGUGGCGAAGGCGGCUCUCUGGGACGGUACUGACGCUGAGACGCGAAAGCGUGGGGAGCGAACAGG
rnacentral:rRNA from 1 species